GAUGAACGCUGGCGGCGUGCCUAAUACAUGCCAGUCGAGCGAACGGACGAGAAGCUUGCUUCUCUGAUGUUAGCGGCGGACGGGUGAGUAACACGUGGAUAACCUACCUAUAAGACUGGGAUAACUUCGGGAAACCGGAGCUAAUACCGGAUAAUAUUUUGAACCGCAUGGUUCAAAAGUGAAAGACGGUCUUGCUGUCACUUAUAGAUGGAUCCGCGCUGCAUUAGCUAGUUGGUAAGGUAACGGCUUACCAAGGCAACGAUGCAUAGCCGACCUGAGAGGGUGAUCGGCCACACUGGACCUGAGACACGGUCCAGACUCCUACGGGAGGCAGCAGUAGGGAAUCUUCCGCAAUGGGCGAAAGCCUGACGGAGCAACGCCGCGUGAGUGAUGAAGGUCUUCGGAUCGUAAAACUCUGUUAUUAGGGAAGAACAUAUGUGUAAGUAACUGUGCACAUCUUGACGGUACCUAAGCAGAAAGCCACGGCUAACUACGU
rnacentral:rRNA from 1 species